GUGUCAGCAGCCGCGGUAAGACGAAGGAUGCAAGCGUUAUCCGGAUUCAUUGGGUUUAAAGGGAGCGUAGGUGGCCUUAUAAGUCAGUGGUGAAAUCUCUGGGCUUAACCCAGAAAUUGCCAUUGAUACUGUAGGGCUUGAGUAUAGAUGCCGUUGGCGGAAUAUGACAUGUAGUGGUGAAAUACAUAGAGAUGUCAUAGAACACCGAUUGCGAAGGCAGCUAACGAAACUAUAACUGACACUGAGGCUCGAAAGUGUGGGGAUCAAACAGGAUUAGAUACCCUGGUAGUCC
rnacentral:rRNA from 1 species